rnacentral:rRNA from 1 species
GACGAACGCUGGCGGCGUGCUUAACACAUGCAAGUCGAGCGGAAAGGCCCUUCGGGGUACUCGAGCGGCGAACGGGUGAGUAACACGUGAGUAACCUGCCCCGAACUUUGGGAUAACCCUCGGAAACGGGGGCUAAUACCGAAUAUGACUUCUGGUCGCAUGGCUGGUGGUGGAAAGAUUUUCGGUUUGGGAUGGACUCGCGGCCUAUCAGCUUGUUGGUGAGGUAAUGGCUCACCAAGGCGAGGACGGGAGCCGGCCUGAGAGGGCGACCGGCCACACUGGGACUGAGACACGGCCCAGACUCCUACGGGAGGCAGCAGUGGGGAAUAUUGCACAAUGGGCGGAAGCCUGAUGCAGCGACGCCGCGUGAGGGAUGAC